AUUGAACGCUGGCGGCAGGCCUAACACAUGCAAGUCGAGCGAGCUGCGGACGGGGGAGUAAUGUAUGGGGACUGCCCGAUAGAGGGGGCUAACUACUGGAAAAGGGAGCUAAUAACGCAUACUAUCGGGUAAUCAACAUGGGAUUAGCUAGGAGGUGAGGUAAUGGCGCACCUGGGAGACGAUCCCUAGCUGGUCUGAGAGGAUGAUCAGCCACACUGGGACUGAGACACGGCCCAGACUCCUACGGAGGCAGCAGUGGGGAAUAUUGCACAAUGGGCGCAAGCCUGAUGCAGCCAUGCCGCGUGUAUGAAGAAGGCCCUAGGGUUGUAAAGUACUUUCAGUCGGGAGGCGUGACCGACAGAAGAAGCACCGGCUAACUCCGUGCCAGCAGCCGCGGUAAUAC
rnacentral:rRNA from 1 species